UUAUUUUUCUGGUCAUGCAAAAUUACCAUAUUGCCAUUGGUUUCAUCAGAUUUUUUUUUAAAACUCUUUCUUUCUUCUUUCUCGAUGGAUCUGGACCAGAGAAAGAGCUUUGAGAGCACCGACGUUUUGCUCUGCCUCUCAACUGAAGCUACCUUCUUCCUCCUCCACCGAAGCCAGCAACAUCGUUCGUGUAGCCGCCGUUGAAGCUCUGCUUAUUUGCUCACCUCAGCUGUGAUUUUUUUCAAGUUCUUGCUGUUCAUCCGUCCACCUCUGCUGCUGAUUCAAGAAUGAAAAGUUUUUCUUUCUCUUAGCUUCUGGUUCGUUUUUCUUCACUGUUCAUCAUCGUCCUCCUUCCUCUGUCCGUGCGUGUUGAUUCAUUGGAGGGUGUGUGGAAGAACAAGACCCUGAAAAGACUUAAAAGAAGAAUACUUUCGGGAGUUUAGAACUUUAACAGAUUUGUUAGCUGACGCUGAUCCCACCAACGACCUCAAAAAGGGCAACUAGCUACAGAGGGUGGAUAUUUUGAUUAGUAUUGUUGCUUUAAUGUAAAUAUAUAAUCUGUAUGUCUUUUUGAUUUGAAAGCAGUAGCGGAUGCUCCACAUAGGUUGUUGAUGAAUUUUAUUUUUGGUUUGUAUAUUGAUAGCUGGCUGGAAGGAGCUAUGCUCCUGAAUUAUACUGUUAUUGUAAAAAUUUUUAUUGUAGAAUUUUCAGGAGAUCCUAAUUAUAAGGGAGGUUCUGCCGAAAUUUUUAC